rnacentral:rRNA from 1 species
AUUGAACGCUGGCGGCAUGCCUUACACAUGCAAGUCGAACGGUAACAGGUCUUCGGAUGCUGACGAGUGGCGAACGGGUGAGUAAUACAUCGGAACGUGCCUAGUAGUGGGGGAUAACUACUCGAAAGAGUGGCUAAUACCGCAUGAGAUCUACGGAUGAAAGCAGGGGAUUGCAAGACCUUGUGCUACUAGAGCGGCCGAUGGAAGAUUAGGUAGUUGGUGGGAUAAAAGCUUACCAAGCCGACGAUCUGUAGCUGGUCUGAGAGGACGAUCAGCCACACUGGGACUGAGACACGGCCCAGACUCCUACGGGAGGCAGCAGUGGGGAAUUUUGGACAAUGGGCGAAAGCCUGAUCCAGCGAUGCCGCGUGCAGGAUGAAGGCCUUCGGGUUGUAAACUGCUUUUGUACGGAACGAAAAGCCCCGGGUUAAUACCCUGGGGUCAUGACGGUACCGUAAGAAUAAGCACCGGCUAACUACGUGCCAGCCGCCGCCGUAA